CUACGGGACGCUGCAGUGGGGGAUAUUGCACAAUGGAGGAAACUCUGAUGCAGCAACGCCGCGUGAAGGAAGACGGUUUUCGGAUUGUAAACUUCUAUCAGCUGGGAAGAAAAUGACUGUACCAGACUAAGAAGCCCCGGCUAACUACGUGCCAGCAGCCGCGGUAAUACGUAGGGGGCAAGCGUUAUCCGGAUUUACUGGGUGUAAAGGGUUCGUAGGCGGUUAUUUAAGUCAGAUGUGAAAGCCCGAGGCUCAACCUCAGGACUGCAUUUGAAACUGGAUAACUAGAGUACAGGAGAGGAAAGCGGAAUUCCUAGUGUAGCGGUGAAAUGCGUAGAUAUUAGGAAGAACACCAGUGGCGAAGGCGGCUUUCUGGACUGUAACUGACGCUGAUGAACGAAAGCGUGGGGAGCGAACAGGAUUAGAUACCCUCGUAGUC
rnacentral:rRNA from 1 species